AUGGCCCCCUCCCCUUCCCUCACAAUGGAACAACCUAAAGCUCCCUGUCUAGUAACCAUGUCUGAAACUCUGAAACACCGUGGGACUAUAAAGCAUAGGUUCUCGACCCUCAGAUGGAACAAAGAAAUUUCAAAUUUAACUAAUAAACAAAGAGGAUAUGUUUCGAAACAUGAUCUGGAUAAUCUGUUGCACAUCAAUAAUCAUCUCAUUGUGCCCGUCGGUUUCAUGCAGUGGCUUGUCGACCAUACUCGCUCAAAUGCUGUCUUCAAGUACAAGAACAAAUUUAUUCAAAUCCGGAGGGAAAUGGUCAAUCAGGUUUUUGGAAUUCAAUCUGGUUCUGAACCUUUUCCUAUCAAGAGCAAUGAUCCUGUUGUAGUAGCAAAAGUUAAGGCACUAAAUGAUAAAUAUAUAUCUGGAAGUAGGACCAUUCCAAUAGAUAACAUUGUCAAAAUGAUGAAGAAUGAUGAAACUGAGGAAGGGUUUAUUUGCAGUUUCCUGUUUCCGUUCAUCUCAACAGUUCUUUGUCCAAUCACUUGCAACUACGCGAACUGGAAGCUUUUGUACGGUCUGCAUGACAUUUCAAAGUUGCAUAAUUAUGAUUUGGCAAGUUAUUGCAUCAAUCACCUCAGCGAAGAGAUCGAAAGCUUCCAUGAAAAUCUUUUUAACAUAGUGGAAAUUGAUUUGAACGAUCCUAUCUGGGUUGGCGACUGCCUGCCCAUGCUUGAUAAUGCUGAUUUACUUCAUGUAGCUAAUGUUGAUUUCAAAAGGACAACUAACAAACCAGUAGCCUAUGGAGCACUACCUCUUCGGGACAUUUCGACCAAACCAUAUGGAGCUCGUCCACUAGCAUUGGUUGAGGAUACAGGUUUCAAUGCCAAACAAGGAACAUUGCCCACAGGACCACUGGAAGAUGUUGGGUUGAAAUCAUCCAACCAACCUGAAGUAGUGCAAGUUAUAUCAGAGGUGGUCGCCAAGCAUGAUGGGUUGUGCAGAAAAAGUCAUGAGAAACACAUGUCUCAAAUGCGUGCAGAUUUGGCAAGCAAUGUGCCUUCUAUCAUUCCAAGCACCAAUUCUAUGAUGGCAAAUACUACAGCCCCUCCUUUUAUUAUCAGCCAAUAUCAAGGGACAAUAGCAACUCAGCCAACAGUGGACAAUAACAAUCAGACAAUGGCUGCUGUCAGUCAAGAUCAGCAACUUGACAAGAACAACAUUAUCUUCCAUUCAAGUCCCACUAUUUUAGAAGAUGACAUUGAUGUUGUCAAACCCAUAGGACACUCAGAACUUAGACUUCCACAUAAAGAUUGUUCUUCUACGAGAGUGGUUGCUGAUAUUGAGCACGUCAUAACCCUUGCUAUGAGCUACGCUGAUGGUACUACUUCGGGAAACGAUGUAGGAUCGAUGCCCUCUGAUGUUUAUGAGACAAAACUAGAUGUUGACAACUUUUACCAAAAGUACCUAAACUACAAGUUCUUCAAAGACAAUCCCACUGUUCUAGAUUUCAAUGACCUAACGGUGUCAUAUGAAAAGUUCUACAACGGUCUAAAACCAAUUGGCAAAGUGAAUGAUGAAGUCAUGGAUGCCUAUGUUGCAGUUUUCAACCAUGGGAAUUUGAAUCCUGAUCCAAAAUCAAAGAAUCCUUCAAAAUUUUCUUUCCCAACACACUUUACAACUAAAUUGCUUGUGGAGCCUGCAAAAUUCAGCACCAGGUCUUGCCUUCGAGAAUUCAAGAGAAUCAACACAGGAAACAACCUGCACAAAUGUGACUUGCUUUUUCUCCGUAGAGUAAAUUCAUUCCAUUGGACUUUCUUUUGCAUCAACAAUCUGUUAACAAUCAACUUCUUUGAUUCAGCAAAUAGCGUCAAUGCUGAUGAACUCAACAUCCUCACAACAAACCUGAUUACCAACCUCAGCACUCUAUUCAAGGGAUCUAACUGCAGCUUCAAAAAUAUAGAAGAAUUUGUAAAGUUUUCUCCUGAAAACUAUCCCAAACAACCUAACUUGCAUGAUUGCGCUAUCUAUGGCAUGCUGUAUAUGGAUUAUUGGAAUGGAAAAGACAUGAAGGACUUUGAAAAAGAAAUCGUUCCCCAAUUCCGUAAGCUCAUUGCAUACAAGAUAGGAAACUUCAAUCAGAACAAGUUCCAGUUUGAGAAGAUUGAUGCUGAUAAUUUUGAGAAACUAGCAUCGACAAAGAAGAGUACCUAUGGUUUUCCAUAUUUGCAGCAUUUUGUCCUAACCUCAGGCCACAAAUUUGUCAACAACUUCUCCUAA
rnacentral:rRNA from 1 species